AUCUGGACUGCAUGGCGUCCAAGUACAAUAGGCCGUCAGUGGGACAUCAUAGAGGGUGACAAUCCCGUCCUUGAUGCCAAUGUGCAAGUCCGUUACGAUGGCUAUCUCAGAGAGUCGAGCAGUUUGGGAUUUGCUGCUUAAACAUGGGAGGUAGAUUCCUUCUAAAGCUAAAUACAGGCAAGAGACCGAUAGAGAACAAGUACCGCAAGGGAAAGAUGAAAUAGAACUCUGUGAAGGGAGUCAAAAGGCGUGAAAUUGUUGCGAGAGAAGCGAUUCAAGUCAGCGUAGCUAGGCCCAUCAAGCCUCUUUGUGCUUUGGACUAGCUUUGCCAGCGGUCUUGUCCCUUAGAGACUUGACUUUUUUAUGAUGUCCAGCCUGGUAUGCACAGGUAGCCCCUCCUCUUGGGGGGGGUGGGGCCAGUGACAUGGCUGGUGGAAUGGCUUGCAAUCGACCCGUCUUGAAACACGGACCAAGGAGUCUAACAUGUAUGCGAGUAUAAGGGUGGCAAACCCGUAUGCGCAAUGAAAGUAACUUUCGAUGAUUGAGAAUGGCCUGAUGACCAGACAAGCAAUAUUCAUGUCCCUCGUACGGCCAUUGCCCAAGUUCCGUGGUUAGAUCCCAUGAACAUGGAGUUGGAGCAUACAUGCUAGGACCCGAAAGAUGGUGAACUAUGCCUGGACAAAGCGAAGCCAAAGGAAACUCUGGUGGAGGCUUGUAGCGAUUCUGACGUGCAAAUCGAUCGUCUGAUCUGGGUAUAGGGGCGAAAGACUAAUCGAACCAUCUCAUAGCUGGUUCCUGCCGAAGUUUCCCUCAGGAUAGCAGAGACCUAGUGGAAGUUGCAUGUGGUAAAGCGAAUGAUUAUUGAUCCUGGGGCUCAAAUGGGCCUCAGUCUAUUCUCAAACUGUGAAUGCGUGCGGUUGGACUGUGCUUAGCAAUAGAAGCCCUGCCAGCAAUGCUUCAGUCUCUAGUGGGCCGUUUCUGGUAAGCAGAACUGGCGAUGCGGGAUGAACCGAAAGCGAGGUUAAAGUGCCAGAAUGCACACUAAUCAGAGAUAAAAGGUGUAUGUGCAUGGACACAGCAGGGCAGUGGCCAUGGAGGUUGGCAUCUGCUAAGGAGUGUGUAACAACUCACCUGCAAUG
rnacentral:rRNA from 1 species